CACGUAGGCACCAAGCGUUGUCCGGAUUUAUUGGGCGUAAAGAGCUCGUAGGCGGUUGAGUAAGUCGGGUGUGAAAACUCUGGGCUUAACCCAGAGCCGCCACUCGAUACUGCUCUGACUUGAGUACGGUAGGGGAGCAGGGAAUUCCUAGUGUAGCGGUGAAAUGCGCAGAUAUUAGGAAGAACACCAGUGGCGAAGGCGGCUCACUGGCCCGGUACUGACGCUGAGGCGCGAAAGCGUGGGGAGCAAACAGG
rnacentral:rRNA from 1 species